rnacentral:lncRNA from 1 species
ACCAACUUGAAAACUGGGCCAAUAAUCAAGAAUCUAAGUACAUUUUUAGAUUCAGCAUAUCAAAGAACCUAACUGAUUUCAUUUUUUGUCAAAAUCAAACUAAGUUUAAUUUUGGACCCUUUGGACCUUAAUGUAGACCAAUUUGAAAACGGGACCAAAAGUUAAGAAUCUACAUACACAGUCAUGACAGUUAGAUUCGGCAUAUC